rnacentral:rRNA from 1 species
GAUGAACGCUGGCGGCGUGCCUAAUACAUGCAAGUCGAGCGAACAGACGAGGAGCUUGCUCCUCUGACGUUAGCGGCGGACGGGUGAGUAACACGUGGAUAACCUUCCUAUAAGACUGGGAUAACUUCGGGAAACCGGAGCUAAUACCGGAUAAUAUAUUGAACCGCAUGGUUCAAUAGUGAAAGACGGUUUUGCUGUCACUUAUAGAUGGAUCCGCGCCGCAUUAGCUAGUUGGUAAGGUAACGGCCUACCAAGGCAACGAUGCGUAGCCGACCUGAGAGGGUGAUCGGCCACACUGGAACUGAGACACGGUCCAGACUCCUACGGGAGGCAGCAGUAGGGAAUCUUCCGCAAUGGGCGAAAGCCUGACGGAGCAACGCCGCGUGAGUGAUGAAGGUCUUCGGAUCGUAAAACUCUGUUAUUAGGGAAGAACAAAUGUGUAAGUAACUAUGCACGUCUUGACGGUACCUAAUCAGAAAGCCACGGCUGACUACGUG